ACCUUAGGGGUAGUUUGCGCCUCAAAGGCCAGAUGGGUGGCCCAGGUGGAGAGACUGCCAAUAGAGGGGAGACCAUCCACUCUAAAAGCUCACUAGCUGGUUCUGGAGGAUUGAGCUUUAGCAGCAUAAACAUCCAAUUUGAAAGACCUGCUUUAAUGAGAAGGUUCCAAUGGACUACACAGGUAAAGACUGGAGCUGGAUGUGAAAAUUCCCUAAUAUGUGAGCAGCAGCACUGGAGCUCACCAACCUGUUUCUGGCUAAGUUUCUGGGACACAGGAGACUGGAGAGUGUUGGAUUGGAAUGGAGCUGCUGUGGGAGCCUGACAGACCUGCUGCAGAUCUAGUGGAGUCCUCAAUGGGAAUGUCCCUAAAGAUUGUAAACUCUUUGGAGCAGGGAUUCUGACUGUGUUUGUACAGUACCUAGCACAGUGGGGGCCUGAUCUUAGCUGGGUAUUGCUGUGAUACAGAUAAUAAAUAAUAGUACCCAGCAGCUCAAGGACUAGGAAAAAUGGCAUUCUUCCAGCUAGUCCACCUGCCCCCAUAUGUGCUUUGUUUUUAACCAUCUCAUGCAUUGAGAUCACGGCGACGUGCACAACAAGAAACCACCCUCCCACUCCUGGGUGAUUCACAAUGCAGAUUCCCUCAAGAAACUGUGAGAUCAACUUUCUAAGCCUGAUAAUGAUCGCUCCUCACAGAAGGUGAGAUGCAUCACAAACGGCUUCUCUGCAACUGCGACAACUUUAUGGGCAUCCCCAAAUGAAAAUCAGCUGCUAAGAUCAAAGAGCAGAGCUGCCAUGCUGUAGCCAGAGGUUUGAGGAGAUUUGCAUAGCGCAGGCGGGGGAGAGACUCCUGCUAGGUUUUGGAUUUUCUUUCUUCUGCGUUGCAGGCUGGACUCCUCUGAAUCUGCCCACUUCCCCUGCAUCCCCAGCCUCACCAUGUUCCUCACCUUCCUUUAGUUCUGCUGGCCAUGUGGAAGUGCUGCCCACCUCUGAACCACUAGCCCAGUAGAGCCAUCAGCACUCCCCAUUGUGCUUGGCAUGGGGGGCCAAGGGAGCAGCUCUGUGUUAAACAGAGCACAGAACAGCCUGAGCAAGCCCGGAGAGCCCAGGAGAGCAAAGGAAACUGGCAGAGGGGCAGAGGUGGGAUGCUUCUAGUGCAUGCAGGAGUCUCCUCAGUUCUGCAGUGAGGACACUGGUGCUUUGGCUUCACCCCAGGCAGAGGGCCAGCGCCAGUCCCAAGCGCCACAGAGGGCAUGUCUGCACUGCAACCAGACGGUGACUGCUGCAGGUGCAGACCUAUCCCAGCCAGCUUCGAUCUCGCCGGCACAAAUACCAACAGCAGGGAAACUGUGGCAGCAUGGGCUGUCCAAACCCACCUAGGAGUACUUGAGCAGUGAGCCCAGGCUACCUUGGCUUUACUGCUAUUGUUAUUGGAGCUAGCCAGCUGCCUUGCGUAUCUCUGCAUGUGGGGCAGUCACACCUUUGCAGUGCAGACAGACCCUUCAGCUCGGCAGAGUUUUCCUUCAGUGGAUUUCUGUGACCAUAA